UACGAAGGGGGCUAGCGUUGUUCGGAAUUACUGGGCGUAAAGCGCACGUAGUCGGACUAUUAAGUCAGGGGUGAAAUCCCGGGGCUCAACCCCGGAACUGCCUUUGAUACUGGUAGUCUCGAGUCCGAGAGAGGUGAGUGGAAUUCCGAGUGUAGAGGUGAAAUUCGUAGAUAUUCGGAGGAACACCAGUGGCGAAGGCGGCUCACUGGCUCGGUACUGACGCUGAGGUGCGAAAGCGUGGGGAGCAAACAGG
rnacentral:rRNA from 1 species